rnacentral:rRNA from 1 species
UGGGGAAUAUUGGACAAUGGGGGGAACCCUGAUCCAGCCAUGCCGCGUGUGUGAAGAAGGCCUUAUGGUUGUAAAGCACUUUAAGCGAGGAGGAGGCUCUCUUGGUUAAUACCGAAGAAGAGUGGACGUUACUCGCAGAAUAAGCACCGGCUAACUCUGUGCCAGCAGCCGCGGUAAUACAGAGGGUGCGAGCGUUAAUCGGAUUUACUGGGCGUAAAGCGUGCGUAGGCGGCUUUUUAAGUCGGAUGUGAAAUCCCCGAGCUUAACUUGGGAAUUGCAUUCGAUACUGGGAAGCUAGAGUAUGGGAGAGGAUGGUAGAAUUCCAGGUGUAGCGGUGAAAUGCGUAGAGAACUGGAGGAAAACCGAUGGCGAAGGCAGCCAUCUGGCCUAAUACUGACGCUGAUGUACGAAAGCAUGGGGAGCAAACAGG